GCUGGGUGGCUCAGUCGGUUGAGCUUCCGACUUCAGCUCAGGUCAUGAUCUCACGGUUCGUGGGUUCAAGCCCCGCAUCCGGCU
rnacentral:tRNA from 1 species